GUGAUUCUAAAGAGGAGCGGUGUAAAUCCCUACCGGUGGUGAUAGUCCACAACUCCCCUUUUUGGGAGCAUCUACAUAGAAGAGGCUCUUUAUAGGGGGGACUGAUAUGGUGUAAUUCCAUAAUCGACGGUUAUAGUCCGGAUGGUAUUUGAAUCUU
rnacentral:ncRNA from 2 species